ensembl:lncRNA
CGGGAGAGGACUUGCGAGGAGUGUGAAGGCAUCAGAUGCUGACAGAUGACCACGUAUUUUCAAAUAAGCAGAGCUGUGGGUUUUUUUUUUUGGCCUGUGGCAAAGAGAAGAUGAUCUGGCUAGUUUAUGUAUCGCAGGCAGUAAUGAUAACUACAUCAUUGGAAACUACUUAGGAACACGCACAGUCCAAUAUUGACAAAAAGCUAAAACAAGAUCACAUUUUAAUUAAUCAAUAAAGACCAAGAUCACACAGACUUACUCACUUCUAACUGGACUGAUGAAAUGAGGAAAAUGCUCAAAACUGCCUGGUUUGCGUAGUACGUUUUUGUCUUUUAGGUUUCUCUGAUAUUGUGUAUUUCCUUGCUUGUGAAUUUCAAUUAGAAGGCAAGAAGAUUGUCGCUCUAGAUUUGCAGAGGUAAAAGAAUGCCAAGAUGAAGCAUUGAAAGGAUUCUUUGAACCAAAACACUAUUCUUGGUGUCAAUGAAACGAUUUUAUCAAAGUUGCCUUUAAAGCUACCUGUUGUUUUCCAUAUAUUUGUGUUGCUAAUGUCAUUUAAUUAACAUACAAUAGAAUUAAAGGGACUCCUUUGAACUUGAAGGGUCUCUCAGAAUAUUUAAUCCCCUCAAAUGUUUUGACAUGUAUUACGUUUUUUUUGCCCGUCAUUUACCCUUUUGGUAUUUUUAUGGAAAAACAUAAGAGAAGUUCAAAGAAAAACGUUUUCUGACGAUACCUUCAUGCAACCUGAACGUGUCCUUAUGCCCCAGAGGUCGCGCUGUGAAAGAGAACCAGCAUGUUUCAGUGAUACUUGUUUCUGCAAUGACACAGACGUGCAGAAGCCGUAUUUCUCUGUCCUGUACAUGAAGGUUUUACACACAGGUUGUUACAUACAUUUCUCUUUUUUCAACUUGCUUUGACAGCAUUUUAUUCUGAAGUAAAUUUCAGUUUGAAAUUUGGCUGAUUCCCACCGAAGGAUUUCUGAUUUUAUCCAAUGGUUACAAAGUCAGGAGGCCGGAGUUUCUUUGUUUGCUUUCCGAGUUGAAGGUUUGUAGCUCAAAUCAAAUGGAUCACAGUCAUCUUCUCCAUCACUUUCCUCUGAGGAAAGAAGAGCAGAUUUAAAAUGUCCACUAAGUUGAGCUUUAGGAACAUUCACUGGGUUGUGGAAAAGAUAAUACAGUUUGCAUCAUAGCAAAUUCUGAAGAUUCUGAGUGUUAAUCUUAAAUUACUAUGAUUAUAAACCACUAUAGUUUCAAUUAGUCCACCAUUAAAAGUUUUUGUUGUGUUUCUUCACUAGAUUUUAGUACAAUACCAAUGACAAGUGGUAAAAAGGUGUUGCAGCACGAUGUUCUCCCUCUAGAUGGCGUCGGCAUAAAAGCCUGAAGAGCAGGAGGUUCAUCUCCCGUCUAUGCAGCCCGACUCAUCCCUCUGUCUGAUGGUCAUUUGCUGAAUUGUUACUCGUAUCAGAGCGGUUGAAUGUUGAUUGUCAUUGUAAAGCUGUCACUCAACGCAAACUUAAGAUGCAUGCGUCAUUCUGAAGACCUGCCGUGAUACGGUGUCACGUGAGAACGAGGGAGAGCCGGAUGAAUAGAUGGACAGAGAGCAUCGGAGAGAGCGAGAUCCUAAUCUCAUCUGGAUUUUUUUUUUUUUACUCCCAACAGUGUUGCAUAAAGCCUUAAUCCAGAGCUGUCUAUCAAAUUUACUCAACUGUCAUGGUCCUUUCCGAUGGCUGCCGCCAUUCACCGCAGCCUCCUUUACAUCCAACUAUAGUGAAGUGAAACAGUGUGUGAGAUGUGUAAUCCAGAAAUGUAGUGUGUGACAUCAGACACGCGUGUGCAGUGCGUCAGUGUCAGCAAACAGGUUGCCAUCGUAAGCAGAAAACCUCCCUCCCAACACUCAACAUUCUCUAAAAGGUUGUUGUAUCUGUGCUCAUUUAUACCAUGUACACUAAACAUAAAGCCUUCAGGUCAUACUUGGCCUGCCCCUUUUUUUUUUACAACGGAGUCAGAUAUUUAUCAUAUUCUAUUUAGUCUUAGUUCUGGUACAGCUGCUUGUGUUUAGGCAACAUCUAAAAUAUUGAUUUCUUUGUUUGUUGACUGAAUAAAUACUUAAAGUAAAGUGUUGG